UAACGGCGAGUGAAGCGGCAAAAGCUCAAAUUUGAAAUCUGGUACCUUUGGUGCCCGAGUUGUAAUUUGGAGAGUACCACUUUGGGACUAUACUUUGCCUAUGUUCCUUGGAACAGGACGUCAUGGAGGGUGAGAAUCCCGUAUGGCGAGGGUGUUAGUUCUUUGUAAAGGGUGCUCGAAGAGUCGAGUUGUUUGGGAAUGCAGCUCUAAGUGGGUGGUAAAUUCCAUCUAAAGCUAAAUACAGGCGAGAGACCGAUAGCGAACAAGUACAGUGAUGGAAAGAUGAAAAGAACUUUGAAAAGAGAGUGAAAAAGUACGUGAAAUUGUUGAAAGGGAAGGGCAUUUGAUCAGACAUGGUGUUUUGCGCCCCUCGCCUCUCGUGGGUGGGGGACUCUCGCAGCUCACUGGGCCAGCAUCAGUUUUUGCGGCAGGACAAAACCUUGGGAAUGUGGCUGCGCACUUCGGUGUGUCGUGUUAUAGCCCUUGGGAAUACUGCCAGCGGGGACUGAGGACU
rnacentral:rRNA from 1 species